rnacentral:tRNA from 1 species
GAAAAAUUAGUUAAAUAUUAUAACAUUAGCUUGUCAAGCUCAAAUUAUCAACCGCAGAAUUGAUAUUUUUCA